rnacentral:rRNA from 1 species
GAGGAAAAGAAACCAACUGGGAUUACCUUAGUAACGGCGAGUGAAGCGGUAAAAGCUCAAAUUUGAAAUCUGGUACUUUCAGUGCCCGAGUUGUAAUUUGUAGAAUUUGUCUUUGAUUAGGUCCUUGUCUAUGUUCCUUGGAACAGGACGUCAUAGAGGGUGAGAAUCCCGUUUGGCGAGGAUACCUUUUCUCUGUAAGACUUUUUCGAAGAGUCGAGUUGUUUGGGAAUGCAGCUCAAAGUGGGUGGUAAAUUCCAUCUAAAGCUAAAUAUUGGCGAGAGACCGAUAGCGAACAAGUACAGUGAUGGAAAGAUGAAAAGAACUUUGAAAAGAGAGUGAAAAAGUACGUGAAAUUGUUGAAAGGGAAGGGCAUUUGAUCAGACAUGGUGUUUUUUGCAUGCACUCGCCUCUCGUGGGCUUGGGCCUCUCAAAAAUUUCACUGGGCCAACAUCAAUUCUGGCAGCAGGAUAAAUCAUUAAGAAUGUAGCUACUUCGGUAGUGUUAUAGCUUUUUGGAAUACUGUUAGCCGGGAUUGAGGACUGCGCUUCGGCAAGGAUGUUGGCAUAAUGGUUAAAUGCCGCCCGUCUUGA